rnacentral:ncRNA from 15 species
ACUUCUUUUUAUUUAUUUUUGUUUUUAAAACUACGAUUAAGAAUCGGUUGUAAGCGUGGUGUCUCGUGAUCAGCUCAUUAAGCCCACUUAGAUAUGCUACGCUGUAUUUGGGACUAACCUCGGGUGUUGGUUUGGGUAUGGCAAACGCUGCAAAAACUAGAUUCAGUCAAGGACAUUUACUUUGGCUACGUUGGUCCAACCGAAUACGGGCUUCUGAUUCCAUGAAGAGCUUUUGCAAUUUAGAGUUUGAAAUGAAAUUGUGUUUCCGGAUUAUACUCCAAACAUAUUAUUAUAUGCAAUCUCAUUUACUUUGAAACAUGAUCAAUGAAUAAAAAGAAACUGUUCACAUAAAGCAAGCGACUUAACC